rnacentral:rRNA from 1 species
AUUGAACGCUGGCGGCAGGCUUAACACAUGCAAGUCGAGCGGGGUGAGGUGCUUCGGUACUGAUCCUAGCGGCGGACGGGUGAGUAAUGCUUAGGAAUCUGCCAUUUAGUGGGGGACAACAUUCCGAAAGGAAUGCUAAUACCGCAUACGUCCUACGGGAGAAAGCAGGGGAUCUUCGGACCUUGCGCUAAAUGAUGAGCCUAAGUCGGAUUAGCUAGUUGGUGGGGUAAAGGCCUACCAAGGCGACGAUCUGUAGCGGGUCUGAGAGGAUGGUCCGCCACACUGGGACUGAGACACGGCCCAGACUCCUACGGGAGGCAGCAGUGGGGAAUAUUGUACAAUGGGCGGAAGCCUGAUCCAGCCAUGCCGCGUGUGUGAAGAAGGCCUUUUGGUUGUAAAGCACUUUAAGCGAGGAGGAGGCUACCUGGAUUAAUACUCUGGGAUAGUGGACGUUACUCGCAGAAUAAGCACCGGCUAACUCUGUGCCAGCCGCCGCCGUAACAC